UCCUCAAGGAAUGGCCUACAAGCAAUUUCGAAUGUGUCAUGAAUACGACCGCAACCACAAUCGCAGACGUACUCAUUACAACCGCAUGUACGCAGUAGUGCAGUGGCUGGCAGCCAAUACUGAGCAUACGCGUGACGGUGGCUCCGCUCAAUUUUGUGGGGAGUUUUGGAAGUUCUCUGCAAAUUAUUUGAAAAAUGGCAUUUUUUGGGUGCCUUGCGGUUCCGCGUU
rnacentral:lncRNA from 1 species